GGAUAUAUCUCAGUGGUAGAGUACUUGCCUAGCAUGUGUGAGGACCUGGGUUCAAUCCCCAGUACCA
rnacentral:tRNA from 1 species